CGAGUUACUACAUCUAUGUAUAAUGUAUAAUCAGUGACGUGUGUUUCGGCGGAACGGUUAACGAUAGAAGAAAACAUUUUCUCAGUUUGUGUCGAUUAAAACGGUAAACGUAUUGCAAGUGUGUUGAUAUCAAUCAUCGUGAAACAAUCGUGAUGACGGGUUUUAUUAUCGUCGCGUACUUUUACGACACGUUACGCAAUCGUUCGUGACAGAACGCUUCGUAAGUCGCGUCCGCCAUGAAGGUUAUGUUUAUCAAUCCUUUUCGGCGAUUCGAUGUGCUUCGCGUAUUUCUCUAAUUUCGAUGCAAUAAAGCCAAGUGUCGUCGAACGUUUUCAUUAAAUAAAUGUUUCUUGUCUGCAGUCGAGGAUCAACGUAAAUCCGGCGAAAUGGCAGACGAAAUGGAGAAUGUCACUCAGGAUUCUGGCGUAGAUGAGAAGUACAGGGUGUAUGCGAGUGUGUCAUUCGCGGUGCUGCUAUUAGGAAUCGGCGUACCCCUCUGGUGGCACACUACGGCGGUGCCCCGGGUUGCGCUUCCUUAUACCAGGAUCAAUGAUUUGUCGCAGCUGGACAUCAGGAUCACCACGAGGAUCACCCUCGCGGCGCUCUCACACGCUCGCACUGAGCUGCUCGCGCGUGAAAUCAAACGUGCGUUCGCGAAUGCCGAAAUAUACCAGUUGGAAUUAGAGCACCAGGUGAUCUCCAAUAAUCUGCUGGCGUCCGCUUUCACAUAUCACGAACUCGAGAAGGUGGCUUCGACUUUCGAUCUGGACGUGGGUGAUUUACUGCUACUGGAAGCGACGAACUUAAAUGAUGCUGUUCUAGUCGGCUCUAAUAGAACGUUAUAUUUCUCUACCGAAACUAGUGCCACUAAAUUGGUGCAAGUAUUAUCGGAAUGGAUCCUUCACGACAAGUCAUUGGCAUUGACAAAGAACGCGCUCGCCGAACCCACCAUGUAUAGCUUGGACGAGGAAAACAGGAGACGAUUUCCAGUCAGUCCGGCAUAUGACGUUCUAAUCACCCUAGUUAACCCUGAUCCCGAGAAGCUGAAGAUCGUUUGGAACUUAAGAACAAUGACCGAAGACUAUAUACAGCCGUUCCUAGACGAGCUGUCCAUCUUGAGUGAUUUCUCUGUCAAGUCGCAGUGGCUCUAUUUACUACCGUUGGACGUGAAUCCCAAACGCGUGCCUGACAGCAGUCCAAGCCGCAGGCAUUUCGCUUUACGCGAGAGCGUUUUGCCACAGCUGGUAACGCCGUUGGAGAAAAAACUAGCGUCGCAGGUCAGUCUUCAUCCAUGCAUCAACUUGGUCGUCUACAUGGUACCGUGCAGCAGCGCGCCUCUGCAUAUCUACACUCGCAGCGGACAUAAAUCACGAACAGACAGCAAUGUGGAAGCCUUCCUUUCCCCGAGAUGGGGUGGCGUGGUUUUGAUCAAUCCACCAUCAAAGGUCUGCGAUGACGCACAGAAGAAUACAACCGUUACUAUUGUUCCUGAGGAGACCGCCGUAGUAGGCACGUUCUUGGCACAGCUCAGAUUAUUGUUGGGCAUUCCAGAAACGAAACCCAUCGACGGGGUGACAAUGGUGCCAUUAGUGGGGCUAAAAUCGCGCGAGUGGGAAAUUGAUUCCUUACUGAGGUUUCGCACCAUCGAGCAAUUGACCUCAGCGAAACUGACCCUGCAAUCAUUGGCACAACUGCUGAAGGAGAUCAGCAAUAUUGUCAUUACAGACGUGGUCGGAAAUAGGAUUAAGACCGCGCUCGAGCUGGUGCACGAAUCUGCGGAGCAUCUUCAACGUGGCGAUCUUGAGCGAAGUUUUGUUCUUAGCAAGGAGGCCUUCGUCACUGCAGAGGCGGCUUUCUCUGAUCCGACACUUUUGGCGCUCCUCUACUUUCCGGAGGAUCAAAAAUAUGCAGUGUACAUUCCUCUGUUUUUGCCGGCAAUGAUACCGGUACUGUUAUCGCUUAAGAAUAUACGGAGAUAUUACUUCCCCGAGAAGAGUAGUAAGAUAGAAAAGAGGACGGGCCGUAGAGAGAGUAAGAAUGACGAGGAUGGUAAACCAAAGAUCGAAUAAUGAAAAGGCAUUUAUCUGAUCGAUAAAACAUAAUUACGUGUAUACAAUCGAAUGCGAUUCAAAAUUAUUUUGACCAAGAGCGGAUAUAAGGUACACAUGAAUCAUACUUGUUCACCAGAGACGAUAGAAUCCUCGGGAAGAGUCUGAACACAAAGAACGAGCUUAGCACGCAGUCCAAUCAAAUGAGCUGCCAACGCCAUAAUGGCAAUGCCGCGCGAAUGUUGCGGCACUAUCAGCAGGAUCAGCCGCGAAUUUUUCAUUUUGUGUAAUUCCUGCGGUAGUAUCCUUGCAUUGUACUCAUUCAGGCAUGAUCGGUACAGAGACAAUCUCAUCGACCUGGAAGAGGAUCAUCACAAAUGAAUGAAAAGAGAAUUAAUUCGCUAAAUAAUGGAUAGAUGCUUGGGAAUCGAUACUCACUCUAGCAACGGCACUGCGGAAGAUUCCAACCAAAACAGAUCUUUAUUUACCACGCCGAUAUAAAUGUCUUUCUUCUCAGACUCUUGUGCCAAGGAGUUGGUCCAAUCUGAAAAGAUUCGAGUUUGAAUGAUUUACUCUACAAGAUAGGCGAGAUCGAUUACGUGUUCAAUUGUGCUGUUUCAUUUACAUAGAGAAGAAAUGACAAAACAAAAGAUUCAGACGAGGUAUAGGAAUUAUAACAAGUGCCAGAGAUUGCGAGGGAAAUUCGAUCGAAAAAUUAGAAAUACCUAGAAAACGAUUAAAGGGAUGUACAAUAGCUCGGCGCAGAAAAUUUGAAGCCUUCCUACAAAAUAUAUUCCAUACUGAAGGUAUCUCACUUUCGCAAGAAACGCCAUUACUCUUCGUCCGCAUCCACGAUGACUCGCUGGCCAACGCGCAGAACUGCUCGAAAUUGAUUCGAAAUUCUGUCGGGUCACCUUUCGCCGGAAAUCCGUCUAUCAAGGUCCUGUACACCUCUGCGCGACAAACGUGUUUACGAUUAUUAUUCUUUUUCACCAAGUUUAUUAAAUUGUUGUAAAAUCUGAUGUAGGAAUAAUUACCGGAUUUAUUCACCGUGUUGAGCAGAUCCGAAAGAGGCAUAUUGUUGCACACUGCAUUCGACUGCAACGUCACCCAAGCCUGAAAAUGAAGAAAACCGUGUUGAUGUAGUUUUUUAAAAAUAUUAUUUCUCACACGAUAAAACGUAUAUAUACAUACUUCUCCUAACUUUACUGUACCGCUGUCAUCAACGUUCAUAGAUUUGAAAACCUCUCGCAACGUUCUAAAAUAUAAAAUAUCCUUGCAAAUUCUCUCCUUUUUUAUUUCGUUCAAAUUAAUAAUCGACUAUAUAUAAUACAUAAAUAACUAAUUUUUCAGAAUCGGUAGAAACUUACACUGCAUCUGUCCCAUUCUGAGUAAGCGAGAUUCUUAUAGGUCUGAUGCCAUCCUCGGUAUACAAAUCUGUACAAUCCUGCACAUUGAUUUUUUCACGUAACAUCUGUACAUAUAUUAAUUAAUACAUUAGUACAUGUAUUAAUCAUAAGUUCUGCUGCAUAAUAUGCUCGUUAAUUAGAGUCAUUACCUUGGAUGUGCAGUGAAGGGCAACUGAAACGCUUUCGAAUAUCGGUAUCCUUUGUCUCUCCAUUAGAUACUGAAGUACCAGCAAUCCGUUCAUCAAAUCGUGAUAUUCUCUGAAGAAUUAAAACAAAUACGUGUAAAAUGAAAAAAAAUUAUAUCAAGACAUAAUUUUUUAGAUCGAGUAAUCAGGCAACGUACUGUGCAGAAACAGUCUCUCCGAGUAUAGUCUGACCCUGACGAUAUGGAUAAAUAACGAGGACUAAGGACUCGCUGCGUGUAGCUGCCAGUUGAGCCGCUUCGAUGAUGCCCGCGCUGUUGCGUGUCUGGUUGUCGAUAACAAACAGCAAGACCCGUGCCGUCUGCUUCGCCUCGUACUCCUGGGCUAUCAAUUCUGGACCCCAUUGUGACACUUGCUGCAAAGAAUACAGAAUCUAAUUAUAAUAUCUUAUGCAAGGACGAAGAAAACGAUGAUAGUGAGUAACUUACAGGAUUAUAAUAAGUAAUUCCGAGGUUCUGAAGAGUUGGAAUCGCUAUGUCUGACCUCCAGGUGGUUGGAUUACAAGACCCGCCCAAAAAUACCUCAUAUGCCAUCCUCUCUGAAUAAUUAAUCGAUAGAUAAGUAAUAAUUGAGGCUGAUUAUGUAAAGACAAUCGGUAAAAUAGCCGAUUUGCCAACUUACUUGAACUAGUUUUGUGAUUGGUAUCCUUUCCAUCACCGUGUAAUGAGCGAGAGGCGUUCAUAGGAACAGCCGUUGUUCUAUAAAAUAUAAACAAGAACAAACA